GCGAAAGUUGCCAAGCGGUCAAAGGCGGCAGGUUCAGGGCCUGUUCGUGUAGACGUUCGUGGGUUCGAUUCCCAUCUUUCGCA
rnacentral:tRNA from 1 species